rnacentral:sRNA from 1 species
AACUAACCCUCCCAAAGGUCGGCAAAAUUCUUCAACUGAACCCUCCACGAGGGUGCCGACUGAACUGUCUCUAUAGUCUUGUCCAUGGGAAAGGAUGGAGUCAUGGUUCGAGGUAAUGGGCCGGACUUAGGUAUAAUGCGACCCGUGCUGAUAGUCAGCAAGGCUGGGGGCCCUAAAAAUAGCCCAGUCUUUUACAGAGCAUAUCGGAUACCUCCGGUAUUAAUCAGCCUUACCUGCACAUCGUGGAUCUCUGUGUAGGCGGACAUUCCUUUCUCCGCAGCUCGUGGGAAUCAAAAAUGCAUUCCAAUUCAAUUAAAAAAAUUCAAAAGAGUCCGGUACUCUUACAAAACCGGCAGGGAGCAAUCCCAGACAUGUAGCGGAGGCAGUGGCUCGUAAGCCUGGCCAAACCGGUAACACGACAAAAGUGGCGGAAAAGCCUGUUUGUCAAGUCAGUGGUGAGGGUGCAGUUGGUAAGAACCCCGACCCAUCCGACUCUGUGGUAGGUAGGCAAAGCACUUGUGCAGCCAACCUGCCAGCCGGAGCGGAUGCAAAGGGCGAAAAACCAACUACCAGCGCUGCGGCUAAGAGGCUGCCGACCGAUGAAAUGCCGCAAGCAUUCUAAAGCGGCAGAAUGCAAGCACAGUGUACAACCCACCAGCCGAAUGGCAAAAUAAGGUCGUGUGGGCCAGGAAGGUGCUGCCAAACUUCUGUUAAGCUCCACCCAACAAAGAGCAGAGCCAGGCAAAAAGGCAACGCUCCCAAGAAACUCACGGACCCAUUGCAAAGCGGGCCAAGGUGCAGCAGGGAAUGUCUUUUGCUGUCAUUGCCAAGGAGUGAAUCCUAAUUGGGAUCCUUGACAAGGGAAACAAGGACGGCGGAAUGCAGAAGGAGCCCUCGCUGUUCACUGCCUGAAACUAUUGAGCAAGGCGCCUGGGCCACCACCGGUAUGUAGAGAUGCCGGGUGGUACCAGGGUAACACAAAGGUCAUUGCCUGCCAGGAUGCUCGCUCGGUAGAGCUUUACAAAGCUGCCGUAGCAGAGAUUGGCGAGGUCUACCCUGGGGCGAAGCCUCACGCAUCUGGAUCCCGGCCUCUUUAAAGGAACCGGACCAGAUGCUAAACCUAUUGCAACCCCUCUCUUCCCACCCAUGAUUGAAUGGUGGUGAAGAUUGAGGCCACCGAUGGUCCAACCAACCAGGCAGUGCUGAUCCUAAACAAGCAAUCGCUAGCACUCAUCGAAGCCGCCAAGGGCGAGCUCAAUUUCGGCUUUGGCUCCAUUACCGUUAAGGUAUAUAAGUCGGAUGCGCCGGCCGGAGGAGACCCUGUUGUCUGUAACAAGACGGCUGAACAGGGCCCUCCUGCGGAGAUCGGAGCAACGGAUGAGGAGCUGGAGCCCGGUUGCACGUCGGACACGUCGACUCUCACUCGGGGCCUUGAGGCCUUGUAUCACGAGUUAGACGAGGAUGACUUUACGCUGUCGAACGAGGACGACAGCAACAACACGGUGAUGUCUCCAGAUGUCCUUGAGACUACGGCAGAUAAACCGUCACCACAGUAAAGCAGAAUCCGUUGCUCUGAUGCUCCGCCUGGCUGGAGGCGGAGACGACAUAAUACUAUUCCAAGAACCUUGGGUGAUUGGAGGAAAGGUUUGCGGACUAGGUAAUAAAGAUUAUAAGCUUUUAGUAGCUGGAAAUGAAGCAAUGCCAACAACACAGCGGUAAGCCUGGAGCUCCAGUAAGGCUAUUGUCUGCCUAUAUGCCCGCCACCAGACGAGAUAACAAGAUCCCUCGUCCAGGAGUGCGAGAAGCACAGGAUCGGCCUAGUUAUAGGCUGCGACGCCAAUGCUCACCACACUCAGUGGGAGAGCACGGACACAAAUCCGAGGGCACUUCCGGAUGAGCAACCAAAUACAUUCCGCGAAAUUCGAUUAAAAGCACUCGUAUUUAGGGUGCUAAAAACUGUACCAAGCCUCACGGGACUUUGUUUACACAUUUUGUAACGGCGCUUUUUCUUCUUACACUGUUAUAAUGCGUUGGAAUGAAAGUUCCGUUAGUUUUCUCCAAGAUUUGUGCAUAUUUGUGUUUUUUGAGUUAGUUUGGGGGCGAAAUUCGAUUAACGGCAGUCACUUUCAAACCUUGUAAUGGUCGCCGUUGGAAGGAUUGCUGAACUGAUAAAAUUUAAAUUAUACCGCCUUUUCUUUGUUCGAUAAUAUCGAUCGAUGAUAAAAUUUGAGUCAGUUUCGUAGCACCCAGCCUUCAGAGACCUUAAUUGAAAUGUUGCAGAGCUCGAUCAAUUGGCUCUUCCGAGGGAAGAAGCAGAAAUGCAAAAUUCGAAAAAGAAAAGCUUUUUUUUCGUUGUUGUUUGCUGCUUAUAAAAGAGCUGGCGGAGGCAGGCUGCAGCCUUUUUCGCCUGGUGGUUUUAUCCAAGAAGUCUGCUCCCUCCACGUCUGUUAGCUCGAUGGCUAAGCGUUAGAGGUUAAAUCCGCGCGCCUCCAAUUAUUCAGAGAUUUUUCAUAUUUUGGGCAGAAAGGCCUGGCCGCGACCACCACCAAAAGAAAAAGUGAGACAACUCCAUUUUGGAGGCCAUCGCGGCAGCGAUCAUACAAGUUUUGCCUUGUAAAAAUUUAUAAGCACUUUGGCCUAAAAUUCCAAUCAACGUUUACGCAAAGUUUUGAGCUGCAGCUUUGGAUUUUGAUUUCUGCACCGCAGCUGACAUCAGUGCAUCACAACCAACCCGCCGCAGAAACCGGCGCUCCUAAUUUUUCUGUGCCAAGUGCGUUCGAAAUUUUUUUGCUGUGCUCAUAAACCAGAAGUAAUUUGAACCUGCAAAUUACGUAGAA